rnacentral:lncRNA from 1 species
AUCAGCACAGUAUGCUAGUACUGCGCUGAUCCUUCUUUGAUGGUUGAUCAGGUGCUUCCUUCUUCUUGAUUUGGACUCUUCCAAAGAUGGAAAGUAAAAGGAGGAGUUUCAGAUCUGAGACGCUCUCAGAAAACUCAAGAUGGAGGGAGGAAAGAUAUGAAAACAAAAAACCCUAGAAGAAGACCCUCUUCUUCUUCACGUUUUUCUCUCUAGA